rnacentral:rRNA from 1 species
AGUGAACGCUGGCGGUAGGCCUAACACAUGCAAGUCGAACGGCAGCACAGUAAGAGCUUGCUCUUACGGGUGGCGAGUGGCGGACGGGUGAGGAAUACAUCGGAAUCUACUUUUUCGUGGGGGAUAACGUAGGGAAACUUACGCUAAUACCGCAUACGACCUACGGGUGAAAGCAGGGGAUCUUCGGACCUUGCGCGAUUGAAUGAGCCGAUGUCGGAUUAGCUAGUUGGCGGGGUAAAGGCCCACCAAGGCGACGAUCCGUAGCUGGUCUGAGAGGAUGAUCGGCGACAUGGGAACUGAGACACGGACAAGACGCCUACGGGAGGCAGCAGUGGGGAAUAUUGGACAGUGGGCGCAAGCCUGAUCCAGCCAUACCGCGUGGGUGAAGAAGGCCUUCGGGUUGUAAAGCCCUUUUGUUGGGAAAGAAAAGCAGCAGGUUAAUACCCCGCGGUUCUGACGGUACCCAAAGAAUAAGCACCGGCUAACUUCGUG